GCCUAACAGCUAGCCCCUCCCCCCCCAAACGCAACAACCCCACAUUAAUAACCCCUAAAUACCCCCGUAUUUAAACUAACAAACCAUUUUUCCCCCUCAGUACAGGAGAUAGAAAAGGGUCAAAGGCGCAAUAGAGAAAGUACCGCAAGGGAACGCUGAAAGAGAAAUGAAACAACCCAGUACAAGCCUAAAAAAGCAGAGCCUUAUCCUCGUACCUUUUGCAUCAUGAUUUAGUAAGUGUACCCCAGGCAAAGAGCACUUUAGUCUGACACCCCGAAACUUAGUGAGCUACUCCAAGGCAGCCUAUUAACAGGGCCCACCCGUCUCUGUUGCAAAAGAGUGGGGAGAACUUUGAGUAGAGGUGACAAACCUACCGAACUCAGUUAUAGCUGGUUGCCCAAUAAAUGGAUAGAAGUUCAGCCUCUUGGCUUCUCCUUUCACCCUCGGGUCACACCCCUGCUGAUCAUUAAAGAAACCAAGAGAGUUAGUCAAAGGGGGUACAGCCCCUUUGAAUCAAGACACAACUUUACCAGGCGGGU
rnacentral:rRNA from 1 species